UACAGAGGUCUCAAGCGUUGUUCGGAUUCAUUGGGCGUAAAGGGUGCGUAGGCGGCGCGGUAAGUCGGGUGUGAAAUCUCGGGCUUAACUCCGAAACUGCAUUCGAUACUACCGUGCUUUGAGGACUGGAGAGGAGACUGGAAUUCCUGGUGUAGCGGUGAAAUGCGCAGAUAUCAGGAGGAACACCGGUGGCGAAGGCGGGUCUCUGGGCCGAUACUGACGCUGGAGGCACGAAAGCGUGGGGAUCAACAGG
rnacentral:rRNA from 1 species